rnacentral:rRNA from 1 species
UACAGAGGUCUCAAGCGUUGUUCGGAAUUAUUGGGCGUAAAGGGCGCGUAGGCGGUGCGGUAAGUCACCUGUGAAAUCUCCGGGCUCAACUCGGAGCCUGCAGGCGAAACUGCCGUGCUCGAGUGUGGGAGAGGUGCGUGGAAUUCCCGGUGUAGCGGUGAAAUGCGUAGAUAUCGAGAGGAACACCUGUGGCGAAAGCGGCGCACUGGACCACAACUGACGCUGAGGCGCGAAAGCUAGGGGAGCAAACAGG